AUGAUAGUCCUGUGUAGGAGUGAGCUAUACAGUAGCAGAGCUGAAGAUUUCCCUGGUCUCCCACAUGAGCGCCCAGAACAUUACCUGCUGCAGUGGACAGUAACAACUCAUCCAGGCAACAUUAUCCCUUCCAGAGGACUGGAUCCAAACGGGAGUGUGGCUGUGCUGAAAAGACAAACUGCCUCCUUCAGCAUUACUGCUCGCAGAAAAAUUGGACCUGACGCAUCCGUGGGAAGAUUAGACUGACUGAAACAUUUUUUGCUUGCACCCUGGUUCUUGAGGAUGCUAUGGCAAGAUGCAAAAGCAGCUCAUAAAAGCCCUAGGGAAUACAAAGCCCUCAUUUCCACGGGGGAAAUUGUCAUCUGCAACCUGUAACAGAGGUGAGGAGAGGUUAUGGGGUGGAGGAGGAAUCAGCAGUUCAUCACAAAAGCAGGGACACUGUAAUACAAAGAUCUGAGCUGGAGCCACUGCUUGAACGAGGUUCUCCAGAGCCCCCCAGUGCCUGGCAUUGCUUGCCCUGGCCCCCUGUUCUGUGCUGAGGUUAUUUCAGUCUUCGGGCCUGCCAAAACUUACACUAGCUCUAAAAGCAGUUCAUUUCAGUACCAGACCAGCUCAGGAGAAAGCUCAGGAACAUCUGAGAAGAUAAUCUUAGCACGUCUCCCAGUUUGGAAGCGCAGUUUGCUACCCAAUAUCAGGGGAGUGGAAACUCCUAUUUUGAGAAAAACCUCUUGACAUCAGGCCUGCCCUAAGAGUUUGAUUUAGAAAUAAGGCAAACUGCAGAUGCCAUAGUCAUACAUCCGUGCUUGCUCUGGGCCAGGAAUUAUCCACCCCUGGGCUUUGUGUUGCAUGACGGUGUCCCCAGUGACAAGCACUCAAGGAAGGCUACGAGAGUGACUUCAGCCUGACAUCCAAAGGGAAGAGAAAAUAAUCUGAAGCCAAGAAAGAGGAAGCCAAGAGCAUCCUUUGUGGCUUGAACAUGAGAGGUAAUGUGCCAGUGUGACACAGACCAAGGACAUUUCACUGGGGAACUUUGAGCAGAGACAAUGAGGAUGGAAGUGUCAGCUGAGAGCAUGAGAUCCAACCAGGGAAGCGCCCUUCUGGUGCUGCUUUCCUUCUCCAAAGAGAUUUAAUUCAUUAGGUAGAAGUAAUGGAUUGUCAGGUUAUCUUCAGUCCUAUUUCUGGCUGCUGCAGUUCUCUCUGUAACAAGCUGCGGUUUAAGUAUAUAGAGAAAAAUAAAAUGUGCCUCCUUCUUGUUAGAGCA
rnacentral:lncRNA from 1 species